AUGAACGCUGGCGGCGUGCCUAAUACAUGCAAGUCGAGCGAACAGACGAGGAGCUUGCUCCUCUGACGUUAGCGGCGGACGGGUGAGUAACACGUGGAUAACCUACCUAUAAGACUGGGAUAACUUCGGGAAACCGGAGCUAAUACCGGAUAAUAUAUUGAACCGCAUGGUUCAAUAGUGAAAGACGGUUUUGCUGUCACUUAUAGAUGGAUCCGCGCCGCAUUAGCUGGUUGGUAAGGUAACGGCUUACCAAGGCAACGAUGCGUAGCCGACCUGAGAGGGUGAUCGGCCACACUGGAACUGAGACACGGUCCAGACUCCUACGGGAGGCAGCAGUAGGGAAUCUUCCGCAAAGGGCGAAAGCCUGACGGAGCAACGCCGCGUGAGUGAUGAAGGUCUUCGGAUCGUAAAACUCUGUUAUUAGGGAAGAACAAAUGUGUAAGUAACUAUGCACGUCUUGACGGUACCUAAUCAGAAAGCCACGGCUAACUACGUG
rnacentral:rRNA from 1 species